rnacentral:lncRNA from 10 species
GUUUCACCAUAUUGGCCAGGCUGAUCUCAAAUUCCUGACUUCGUCAUCCGCCCACCUCGGCCACUCAAAGUGCUGGGAUUACAGGCAUGAGCCACUGUGCCCGGCUUGUUAUUAUAAUGAGCAAAAGGCUACUGUAGGGCGAGUUACUGGAGGAGUGCACAUGCUCGUCAGUGGGAAAGUCCCUACCAUGGUUAUCUCUGGGUAAGGCCUCAUAAGUCCCCUUUAGGGCCAGAGGAG